rnacentral:rRNA from 1 species
UAUCAAUAAGCGGAGGAAAAGAAACCAACAGGGAUUGCCCCAGUAACGGCGAGUGAAGCGGCAACAGCUCAAAUUUGAAAUCUGGCCCCCCGGGUCCGAGUUGUAAUUUGCAGAGGAUGCUUCUGGCGAGGUGCCUUCCGAGUUCCCUGGAACGGGACGCCACAGAGGGUGAGAGCCCCGUCUGGUCGGACACCGAGCCUCUGUGAAGCUCCUUCGACGAGUCGAGUAGUUUGGGAAUGCUGCUCAAAAUGGGAGGUAUAUGUCUUCUAAAGCUAAAUAUUGGCCAGAGACCGAUAGCGCACAAGUAGAGUGAUCGAAAGAUGAAAAGCACUUUGAAAAGAGGGUUAAAAAGUACGUGAAAUUGUUGAAAGGGAAGCGCCCAUGACCAGACUUGGGCCCGGUGAAUCACCCAGCGUUCUCGCUGGCGAACUUUGCCGGGCACAGGCCAGCAUCAGUUUGGCGCGGGGGAAAAAGGCUCUGGGAACGUGGCUCCCCCGGGAGUGUUAUAGCCCACCGCGUAAUACCCUGCGCCGGACUGAGGUACGCGCAUCGCAAGGAUGCUGGCGUAAUGGUCAUCGGCGACCCGUCUUGAAACACGGACCAAGGAGUCGUCUUCGUAUGCGAGUGUUCGGGUGUCAAACCCCUACGCGUAAUGAAAGUGAACGCAGGUGAGAGCUUCGGCGCAUCAUCGACCGAUCCUGAUGUUCUCGGAUGGAUUUGAGUAAGAGCAUACGGGGCCGGACCCGAAAGAAGGUGAACUAUGCCUGUAUAGGGUGAAGCCAGAGGAAACUCUGGUGGAGGCUCGCAGCGGUUCUGACGUGCGAAUCGAUCGUCAAAUAUGGGCAUGGGGGCGAAAGACUAAUCGAACCUUCUAGUAGCUGGUUUC